GAUUGAACGCUGGCGGCAUGCCUUACACAUGCAAGUCGAACGGCAGCACGGGGCAACCUGGUGGCGAGUGGCGAACGGGUGAGUAAUGUAUCGGAACGUACCAUUCAGUGGGGGAUAACGUAGCGAAAGUUACGCUAAUACCGCAUAUUCUGUGAGCAGGAAAGCAGGGGAUCGCAAGACCUUGCGCUGAUUGAGCGGCCGAUAUCAGAUUAGCUAGUUGGUGAGGUAAAAGCUCACCAAGGCGACGAUCUGUAGCGGGUCUGAGAGGAUGAUCCGCCACACUGGAACUGAGACACGGUCCAGACUCCUACGGGAGGCAGCAGUGGGGAAUUUUGGACAAUGGGGGCAACCCUGAUCCAGCCAUGCCGCGUGAGUGAAGAAGGCCUUCGGGUUGUAAAGCUCUUUCGGCCGGGAAGAAAUCGCAUGGGUUAAUACCCUGUGUGGAUGACGGUACCGGAAUAAGAAGCACCGGCUAACUACGUGCCAGCAGCCGCGGUAAUACGUAGGGUGCGAGCGUUAAUCGGAAUUACUGGGCGUAAAGCGUGCGCAGGCGGUUUUGUAAGACAGGCGUGAAAUCCCCGGGCUCAACCUGGGAACUGCGCUUGUGACUGCAAGGCUAGAGUACGGCAGAGGGGGGUGGAAUUCCACGUGUAGCAGUGAAAUGCGUAGAGAUGUGGAGGAACACCAAUGGCGAAGGCAGCCCCCUGGGUCGAUACUGACGCUCAUGCACGAAAGCGUGGGUAGCAAACAGGAUUAGAUACCCUGGUAGUCCACGCCCUAAACGAUGUCAACUAGGUGUUGGGUGGGUAAAACCAUUUAGUACCGGAGCUAACGCGUGAAGUUGACCGCCUGGGGAGUACGGCCGCAAGGUUAAAACUCAAAGGAAUUGACGGGGACCCGCACAAGCGGUGGAUGAUGUGGAUUAAUUCGAUGCAACGCGAAAAACCUUACCUACCCUUGACAUGUUCAGAAGUCUUGAGAGAUUGAGAUGUGCCCGAAAGGGAACUGGAACACAGGUGCUGCAUGGCUGUCGUCAGCUCGUGUCGUGAGAUGUUGGGUUAAGUCCCGCAACGAGCGCAACCCUUGCCAUUAGUUGCUACGAAAGGGCACUCUAAUGGGACUGCCGGUGACAAACCGGAGGAAGGUGGGGAUGACGUCAAGUCCUCAUGGCCCUUAUAGGUGGGGCUACACACGUCAUACAAUGGCUGGUACAGAGGGUUGCCAACCCGCGAGGGGGAGCCAAUCCCAUAAAGCCAGUCGUAGUCCGGAUCGCAGUCUGCAACUCGACUGCGUGAAGUCGGAAUCGCUAGUAAUCGCGGAUCAGAAUGUCGCGGUGAAUACGUUCCCGGGUCU
rnacentral:rRNA from 1 species